rnacentral:rRNA from 1 species
UACAGAGGUGGCAAGCGUUGUUCGGAAUUACUGGGCGUAAAGCGUGCGUAGACGGUUAUUUAAGUCGGGUGUGAAAGCCCCGGGCUCAACCUGGGAAUUGCAUUCGAUACUGGAUAUCUUGAGUACGGGAGAGGUGAGUGAACUCCGAGUGUAGAGGUGAAAUUCGUAGAUAUUCGGAAGAACACCAGUGGCGAAGGCGACUCACUGGCCCGUUACUGACGCUGAGGCGCGAAAGCGUGGGGG